rnacentral:rRNA from 1 species
GUCCAGACUCCUACGGGAGGCAGCAGUGGGGAAUAUUGCACAAUGGGGGAAACCCUGAUGCAGCGACGCCGCGUGAGCGAUGAAGUAUUUCGGUAUGUAAAGCUCUAUCAGCAGGGAAGAAGAUGACGGUACCUGACUAAGAAGCCCCGGCUAACUACGUGCCAGCAGCCGCGGUAAUACGUAGGGGGCAAGCGUUAUCCGGAUUUACUGGGUGUAAAGGGAGCGUAGACGGCGAUGCAAGCCAGAUGUGAAAGCCCGGGGCUCAACCCCGGGACUGCAUUUGGAACUGUGUGGCUGGAGUGUCGGAGAGGCAGGCGGAAUUCCUAGUGUAGCGGUGAAAUGCGUAGAUAUUAGGAGGAACACCAGUGGCGAAGGCGGCCUGCUGGACGAUGACUGACGUUGAGGCUCGAAAGCGUGGGGAGCAAACAGGAUUAGAUACCCGGGUAC